rnacentral:lncRNA from 1 species
CGAGCACCUUGAGCUGCUGCAGCCCCGUGAAAGCGUCGGCGGGGAGCUCGCUGGAGAAGUUGUUGUUUGACAGGUUGAGAGCGGCAAGCGAGGUGAGGCCGGCGACGUCCGGUGGGAACGCGCCGACGAGGUGGUUGCCGGAGAGGUUGAGCGUGCUCAGGCCGCGGCAGUCGGAGAGGGUCCCACCGGCCACCUCGCCGGUGAUGAGGUUGCCGGAGAGGUCGAGGUACUCCAGCCCGGAGCAGUUGGUGAACUCCGGGAGCCCGGAGAUCUUGUUCCCGGAGAGGUCCAGGCGCCGGACCGCGCCGACGCCUGCACCCACCAUCCACCGGAGGUCACCGUCGCCGGAGAUCUUGUUGUCGGAGAGGUCGAGAGCGUCGAGCCCGAAUCCGGAGCCGCCACCGCCGCCAGACCUCGGCCCACCAACCGAAUCGCCGGAGAGGUUGAGCGCCUUUAGGCCGCCGCAGGAUGCGGCGAGCGCCUCCACGUCGGCGACGGAGCCCCGCAGGCCGGCAUUCCCGGACAGGUCGAGCGACUGGAGCUUGGCCCCGCACCUCGGCGCGGCGGCCAGCGCGCCGCUGAC